UCCUGGUUAACCCAGGCAGUCUCGCUAGAGUGCCCGCCAUUACGCGCUGGCAACUAACGACAAGGGUUGCGCUCGUUGCGGGACUUAACCCAACACCUCACGGCACGAGCUGACGACAGCCAUGCAGCACCUGUGCAUAUGUCUCUUGCGAGAAAAUUACAUCUCUGUAACGGUCAUAUGCAUGUCAAACCCAGGUAAGGUUCUUCGCGUUGCAUCGAAUUAAACCACAUGCUCCACUGCUUGUGCGGGUCCCCGUCAAUUCUUUUGAGUUUUACCCUUGCGAGCGUACUUCCCAGGCGGUAUACUUAUCGCGUUAGCUACGGCACAGUUGGGGUUGAGACCAACUACGCCAAGUAUACAUAGUUUAGGGCAAGGACUAC
rnacentral:misc_RNA from 1 species